rnacentral:misc_RNA from 1 species
CUGAAUUGUUAACACGAGUUGUUGCUGGUCCUCGCAUGGGGGCAUGUGCACGCUCUGUUUACACAUCCACUCACACCUGUGCACCCUCCGUAGUUCUGUGGCCCUGGGGGCUCUGUCCUCCUCCGCCGUGGUUCUGCGUCUUUACACACACAACGUAAUGAAGUCUCAUGGAAUGUAUAUCGCGUCUAACGCAAUACAAUA